rnacentral:piRNA from 1 species
UCCUACCACUGCUGAUGGGCUCUUGAA